rfam:Triticum urartu cultivar G1812 contig1132488, whole genome shotgun sequence.
CUAAUACUCCUUUCGAUCCAUAUUACUUGUUGCUCAAGCGGAUGUAUCUAGCACUGAAAUACGUCUAGAUACAUCUGUUUGAGUGACAGGUAAUAUGGAUCGGAGGGAGUAAAAU